rnacentral:rRNA from 1 species
GGGUUGUGAGGUUAAGCGACUAAGCGUACACGGUGGAUGCCCUGGCAGUCAGAGGCGAUGAAGGGCGUGCUAAUCUGCGAUAAGCGCCGGUAAGGUGAUAUGAACCGUUAUAACCGGCGAUACCCGAAUGGGGAAACCCAGUGUGAUUCGUCACACUAUCAUUAACUGAAUCCAUAGGUUAAUGAGGCGAACCGGGGGAACUGAAACAUCUAAGUACCCCGAGGAAAAGAAAUCAACCGAGAUUCCCCCAGUAGCGGCGAGCGAACGGGGAGGAGCCCAGAGCCUGAAUCAGCAUGUGUGUUAGUGGAAGUGUCUGGAAAGGCGCGCGAUACAGGGUGACAGCCCCGUACACAAAAGCGCAUGUGCUGUGAGCUCGAUGAGUAGGGCGGGACACGUGGUAUCCUGUCUGAAUAUGGGGGGACCAUCCUCCAAGGCUAAAUACUCCUGACUGACCGAUAGUGAACCAGUACCGUGAGGGAAAGGCGAAAAGAACCCCGGCGAGGGGAGUGAAAAAGAACCUGAAACCGUGUACGUACAAGCAGUGGGAGCACAGGUUUACCUGUGUGACUGCGUACCUUUUGUAUAAUGGGUCAGCGACUUAUAUUCUGUAGCAAGGUUAACCGUAUAGGGGAGCCG